rnacentral:rRNA from 1 species
UACAGAGGUCCCGAGCGUUGUUCGGAUUCAUUGGGCGUAAAGGGUGCGUAGGCGGCUUGCUAAGUUUGAUGUGAAAUCCUGGGGCUCAACCCUGGGACUGCAUUGAAUACUGGCAGGCUAGAGUACUGGAGAGGAAACUGGAAUUUACGGUGUAGCAGUGAAAUGCGUAGAGAUCGUAAGGAAGACCAGUGGCGAAGGCGGCUGCCUGGCCUGUAACUGACGCUGAGACGCGAAAGCGUGGGGAGCGAACCGG